rnacentral:rRNA from 1 species
GAUGAACGCUGGCGGCGUGCCUAAUACAUGCAAGUCGAGCGAACAGACGAGGAGCUUGCUCCUCUGACGGUAGCGGCGGACGGGUGAGUAACACGUGGAUAACCUACCUAUAAGACUGGGAUAACUUCGGGAAACCGGAGCUAAUACCGGAUAACAUGUUGAACCGCAUGGUUCAACAGUGAAAGACGGUCUUGCUGUCACUUAUAGAUGGAUCCGCGCCGCAUUAGCUAGUUGGUAAGGUAACGGCUUACCAAGGCAACGAUGCGUAGCCGACCUGAGAGGGUGAUCGGCCACACUGGAACUGAGACACGGUCCAGACUCCUACGGGAGGCAGCAGUAGGGAAUCUUCCGCAAUGGGCGAAAGCCUGACGGAGCAACGCCGCGUGAGUGAAGAAGGUCUUCGGAUCGUAAAACUCUGUUAUUAGGGAAGAACAAAUGUGUAAGUAACUAUGCACGUCUUGACGGUACCUAAUCAGAAAGCCACGGCUAACUACGUG